rnacentral:rRNA from 1 species
CUGGCUCAGGAUGAACGCUAGCUACAGGCUUAACACAUGCAAGUCGAGGGGCAGCAUGUUGGUUGCUUGCAACCAUGAUGGCGACCGGCGCACGGGUGAGUAACGCGUAUCCAACCUUCCCUAUAGUAGAGGAUAGCCCGGCGAAAGUCGGAUUAAUACUCUAUGUUUUCCAAUGCAGACAUCUAAAGUGGAACAAAGGUUCACCGCUAUAGGAUGGGGGAUGCGUCUGAUUAGAUAGUCGGCGGGGUAACGGCCCACCGAGUCGACGAUCAGUAGGGGUUCUGAGAGGAAGGUCCCCCACAUUGGAACUGAGACACGGUCCAAACUCCUACGGGAGGCAGCAGUGAGGAAUAUUGGUCAAUGGGCGAGAGCCUGAACCAGCCAAGUAGCGUGCAGGAUGACGGCCCUAUGGGUUGUAAACUGCUUUUAUACAGGGAUAAAGUGACGUACGUGUACGUUUUUGUACGGUACUGUAUGAAUAAGGACCGGCUAAUUCCGUGCCAGCCGCCGC